GCGAGCCUGAUGCAGCCAUGCCGCGUGAAUGAUGAAGGCCUUAGGGUUGUAAAAUUCUUUCGCCAGGGAUGAUAAUGACAGUACCUGGUAAAGAAGCCCCGGCUAACUUCGUGCCAGCAGCCGCGGUAAUACGAAGGGGGCUAGCGUUGUUCGGAAUUACUGGGCGUAAAGCGCACGUAGGCGGACUUUUAAGUCAGAUGUGAAAUCCCGGGGCUCAACCUCGGAACUGCAUUUGAAACUGGAAGUCUAGAGACCAGGAGAGGUUAGCGGAAUACCGAGUGUAGAGGUGAAAUUCGUAGAUAUUCGGUGGAACACCAGUGGCGAAGGCGGCUAACUGGACUGGUACUGACGCUGAGGUGCGAAAGUGUGGGGAGCAAACAGGAUUAGAUACCCUGGUAGUCCACACCGUAAACGAUGAGAGCUAGUUGUUGGCAGGCAUGCCUGUCGGUGACGCAGCUAACGCAUUAAGCUCUCCGCCUGGGGAGUACGGUCGCAAGAUUAAAACUCAAAU
rnacentral:rRNA from 1 species